rnacentral:rRNA from 1 species
UACGUAGGGUGCAAGCGUUGUCCGGAAUUAUUGGGCGUAAAGAGCUCGUAGGCGGUCUGUCGCGUCGGCUGUGAAAUCCCGAGGCUCAACCUCGGGUCUGCAGUCGAUACGGGCAAACUAGAGUAUUGCAGGGGAGACUGGAAUUCCUGGUGUAGCGGUGAAAAUGCGCAGAUAUCAGGAGGAACACCGGUGGCGAAGGCGGGUCUCUGGGCAAUAACUGACGCUGAGGAGCGAAAGCGUGGGGAGCGAACAGG